rnacentral:lncRNA from 1 species
CACCCUCAAGGAGACACUCGACACACAGUGAACCAGUCAAAUCUACAGCAAAACAGCAGUGCUACUUGCUGCAGCAUUCAGCAAUUCAUUCAAUUUUUAUCUACAUGAUGAAAAAUAAUUUCAACUAUCUAUAUUCACAAUGUAUGAUGGGGAAAAAUGUGGAAUGUACACUCCUGGACAAUCACAAUGGUAGACAAGUCCUUUCAUUCUCCGAGCACCAACAAACAGAAGAAAAUUAAACUCGGAUUAGCCCACUUGCUACUCAUUAGCGGUACUAAAUGAAAAUGUAUAUUUACAUAUUUCUUCAUAUUUUCUGGCGAAAUGGUUAUUUGUCAUUCUCUUUUCUUUGUCUGUGUCAGCGGCAAGCAUACAGUGAGUAAACCUCACUAUCUCUGAGCCAGCAACGCCGUCUCAGUCUGAAGUGAUUAAAUCUGUAGAUCCAUAUUUCGGAGAAAUGACGGCCGCAGCAGCCCCGCUUUGCGAAAAUCUGCACGACGACGUUCAAGAAGUUCGUACACAAACGGCGGAAAUAACGCGAAAAACGAAGAUGCUUUGCACGACCUUCCUGUAUUUUCUCCGCAGUCCCUUUUCAGAAGCGUACAGGCGAUCAUGUUGCGCGCGCAUUUCACAGCGGAAGUGCACGCGUGCAGCGCGAGCACGGGCUCGAGGCUCGAUAACGGAGCGGAAUUAGUCAAGAGAGGGUGGAGAGGAGAAACAGAGUUUACUACGCGAAGGCUCUUAGGCUCUUAGGUUCUUAGGCCGAGGUGGACGUGGCUUGGCCGAUGCCUCAAGUCUACUCGUACUGGUCAGGAAGAGAAAAUAAAUGUCAACAGCAGGCAGCUUGUUACCCAGUUAGAUUACAUAAAUUAGUCAGCUUCUUACUGCAGCAGCAUUGUGAUGCAAAGACAAAGGAGCAAACUUGUGGGAGGCCUCCGAGGAAGACUACUGUUGCUAUACUUCCACGCCCCUCAUUGGUGCCACCACCUCUGACAGCAUGGCCAAGGCAGGACACUGCAGAGCUACAGCAUCUGCAGGUGUCGUUGACGAGUGAAUACAGGCUUUGCAAUAAGCCAGCAGCAAUACUGAGAUUGCAAGACUCAAGGCAGCAGUGAGGGCUGGAUCA